ACCUCAGGAGGGAUCAUCCUUACCUGUUCCUCCUCCUGGAGGACAGGUUAGUACCUGAUGUUUGGCGUUCACAAGACACGUGAUCAGUGUAUCUGCGUAAUCAGGACUUGGAACACCCCGACUGUUCCUGUCUGAU
rnacentral:snoRNA from 1 species